CCCCCUCGUGGGGAAGGUAGAAGGUGGGGUCUGCCGGACGCGUGUUCCUGCCACCAGGUGCCCGCUCCCCGCGAGGCCGGCUCAGGAGCAGAAGGAAGCCCGGUGCCAGCCAGCCUUCCUGAAAGACCAAGCCCGCGCCAUCCGGCUUCCUCCAGUGGACGCCUGCAGGACCCAGGAAUGUUUUUCUUGAAGGCAUCCAGCAUCUCCAGUUAGCAGUACUGAUUUUUUUUCCCCCCAACAAAGGAACACUACAUCAACACUGUUGGCGGGGACCUGGACACAGAAGACUCCUGUUUCAAGAAAAUACAAUCAUCUCUCAAAGGCUGUAAUUUAUAUGCAUUUUAAAACUCUAGGCAUUGAAAACCACCCAAGUGUCCCAAAUAGAAGGGUAAUAUAUAAUCAAUCACUCAGUGUAAUAUUAUACAUCCUUUAAAAAUGUUAUUGGGAAAUGUUUUAUGAUCUGUAAGUCCAAGGAAUCCUCUCCCACCAUUUCUUUCCCCCCGCUGUUCCCCCAUACCCACACUUCUUUGUUCCAAUUGGCAUGUAAAUUUGGUUUUCCCGCCAAAUGAGUCAGUCAUGAUGGGAACCUCAACUGAUUUGAACAGAUGUGUGUCAAUGUUACUUGGAAAACUAGAUGUCAAUAACCAGGGUCACAGAAAAAGGCAGUGGUCACAACUCUGUAAAAAUGUAUGCAUGCACACAGACAAGAACUAAAGUGGAACCCCACACAGGAAAACAGUGGGCUGUACUCCAGUGCUGGGACAUUGAAUGACUGUAUGCUGCUUUUGAUUUCCGUUAAUAUGGGCAACUGUCCAAUUAAAAAAAAAACUCCUAAGGACUCUGCAGUGCAAAUUGUUUUGCUGAUUGUUUUAAAACACCAUACCUAUCAACUCAUCAAGGCAAAUGGGGCAGCGGGGGACUGGGUUCGUUCCCUGAAUCCUGGACUGCUAUAGAGCUCAGGGCAACAUUUGCAGAAAACCUGAGCCUAUGAGAUGGGAGUUAUAGGCAGCUUUCCUGAGGCUGUGUAAGAUGAAAAUAAAACUAGGUUCAAAAAAU
rnacentral:lncRNA from 1 species